AGCUUAUGGACACCAAUUUUUUUGACGUGCACGACGUCUUAUUUCAAUAAUUAACAAAAAAAAGCGUACAUGUUAUACUCAUCUACAGUUCUUUUCUUAGUUUUGUCUGUCUUCUAUAAGUUCUAAAGAAGGACUUGUAAUAGUGUAUUCUGUUGUAAUAGGAAUUUGAAGGCGAUCUGCACCAAAAUCUAAAUGUGGAUGAUCUUAACGUAUUCAGACAAUCCAAAAGAUGUUCGAAUAUUUGCUAGCCAUAGCAUGAGCAUUGAUGGGAUAUCCAUAGGUACUCAACUGGCAAGUUGAUACAAAUUGCAGAAGCUGAUCCCUGACGCUACAGAAACAUUAUUGUCGCUAUAUCUCAAUAGGAUAAGAUGAGAAUGUGCUUUAAACAGGGCAAAUAUGAAUGAGGUACUUGGAAGUGCAUUCAAUCCAUCUGCUCCUUUCCAAGGAAUUCCAGAUGUUGAACAAUUAGCAAGACUACUAUCGUGCACUAGGACUGCGCUUAUAAACAAAACUUCACAGCUCUUUACUGAAUAUGAAGGGGAUAUGUGCCAAAAUUUAAAUGUGGAUGAUCUGAGUGUGCGCAACAGAACAGUACAUACAAUUGAAAAAAUGUUCGAGUAUGUAGGCAGAUAUUUUCUUGAGCUUGGCAAAUUAAUGAUGCAAGUUCAAUCAUCGGCUUUCAGUAUGAUCUGUAUCUUGCUGGGCUGCAGCAGAGGCAACAUUCAGCUAUAUCUCUUCAUCAAACCAGAAGUUCUUUAUAUUCCGAAGACUUGCGUGAGUUCAACCUAGAUACACUAUCUCAACAUCAACAUGAGCAAGCUAGUGCAAAUAUUAGACAACAGAACACUGAACUUAAUGAUGUACAUGGAGAAGGAAACAACAUAAACACGUUGAGUCCUAGUCGAGAUGACUUUAUUCAGGAUAGUGUUAUCCAUGUUGAAGAAACUGAUACAUCUGGAGCAACUACCGAGAAUGUCACCGAGAAUAUGGAGACGCCAACUGUAGAAUAUAGAAGUGUUCAUGAAUGGUCCAUCGAAGUAAGUCAUCUGUUUUACAACUUGAAUCUGAAAUGUGGUCGUCCUCAACACGGAUAGACAUUGAAUGCGAUAGUGUUUGACUACCAUUCUGUUUUUUAUUGCUUGAGUACAUUUGUACAUAAUAUUUUUCGUGGUACUUCAACAUAGAAUAUGACUAUUGUCUGAGUUUGAGGAGUAGUAAUAGUAGUAGUAGUUGUUGAGUUUUAUUUUUUUUCUGAAUUCUGAUUACGGUUGGUCCUGAUAAAAGUGUUUUGGUUUCUCUUUUUGGAUUCAGAUGGAGUGAUGCUUUUGUUGAGGGAGUUUAUUUACUGU